rnacentral:rRNA from 1 species
AGAAUGAACGUUGGCGGCGUGGAUUAGGCAUGCAAGUCGUACGGGGCCGCAAGGUACCCGUGGCGCAAGGGUGAGUAAGGCGAAGGCAACCAACCCCAGGGUCGGGCAUAGCCGCGGGAAACUGCGGGUAAUUCCCGGCGACGCCCGGGGGGGACAUCCCCCCUUGGCCAAAGGUGCGACUCCGCCCUGGGACGGGCCUUCGUGGUAUCAGCUUGUUGGCGGGGUAACGGCCCACCAAGGCUGGGACGCCUACCGGGCGUGCGAGCGUGGCCCGGCACACUGGGACUGAGACACUGCCCAGACUCCUACGGGAGGCUGCAGUCGAGAAUCUUCGGCAAUGGGCGCAAGCCUGACCGAGCGACGCCGCGUGGGGGACGAAGGCCUUCGGGUUGUAAACCCCUGUCGAGAGGGAGGAAGGGGCGGUGGAGAAUCGCCCUUGACCGAUCUCUGGAGGAAGCACGGGCUAAGUUCGCGCCAGCAGCCGC